rnacentral:rRNA from 1 species
AGAACGAACGCUGGCGGCGUGCCUAACACAUGCAAGUCCAACGUGAAAGGGGGAGCAAUCCCCCCGGUAGGGGUGGCAAACGGGUGAGUAAGACAUGGGUGAUCUACCUUAGGGAUGGGGAUAUCCUUCCGAAAGGAGGGGUCAAUACCGAAUAUUUGUCCGGGACCAUGAAAGGGUUCCGGGGGAAAGGGAGGCCUCUGAUACAAGCUUUCGCCUUAAGAUGAGCCCCAUGGCCCCAUCGAGCUAGUUGGUAGGGUAAAGGCCCUACCAAAGGCUACGACGGGUACGCUAGGUCUGAGAGACGGACCAGCCACACUGGGCACUGAGAAUACGGGCCAGACUCCUACCGGGAGGGCAGC